AUGGUGAUGUGGGUGUUCGGCUACGGCUCCCUGGUGUGGAACCCCGGGUUCGCCUACGACGCCCGCCUCGUCGGCUUCGUCAGGGACUACCGCCGCGUCUUCUACCAGGGGAGCACGGACCACAGGGGCACGCCGGAGUUCCCCGGCAGGACCGUCACGCUGGAACACCAGCCCGGGUCCACAUGCUGGGGAGUUGCUUACAAAAUUUCAAGGGAGCAAGAUAAGCAGACAGCCCUGGAGUAUCUGGAAGUAAGAGAGAAGCAAUAUGAUGAGAAGGUUUACCUUGACUUGUAUACAGACUCUUCCCUCAAAAUACCAGCAGUCCAAGAUAUGAUGAUGCAAAUCUACCUAGCUGAAGGCCCAACUGGACCUAAUAAAGAGUAUCUGUUCAAACUUGAGGACGCGUUAAACAAAAUAGGUAUUGUGGAUCAGCAUGUUCAGGAUUUGGCGAAUGCUGUGCGCAGUUAUGCAGACACCAUGUAA
rnacentral:rRNA from 1 species